AUGCGGUGUAGCCCGAUGGGUAAGGGUGGCUACUGGCGCAGCCGGAAAGUUGAUGUUGGUUCGAGUCCAACCCCGCAUC
rnacentral:tRNA from 1 species